UUGUCACACGUCCAUUGUGACACACCUCUCUUUCUUGGAAGUCUACUUAAUGAGUUUUUAACCAAAUUCUUAUUAGAUAGAUUAUGUAGUGUUAAAUUAUUUUGUAAUAUAUUCAAUUUGUGUGAUUUAUGUGAUGGAUGAAUUUUAUGAUGUUUGUAAUACAAUGGUUCAAUUGGUGUUUGUUUUUCUCUGUAUCCUGCAUAGUUAUGUAAUAGUUGAGGAGGACAGGAAGAACUGCUUGAUGUUAGUUAAUAAAUCGUUUUAUGCAGGCACGUAAAUGAUGAUACGGACGAUACUCCUGGAACUCCAAUCAAUCACCAUGAUCUUUUAUCUCCUUCAACUGAUCCAACAUCUUUAAUGUAUGAGAAUGUUUUAUCUUCUGGGAAAGCAUCAAAAUCAAAACUAAUAACACCCUUUUCAGAGCCAACAGAUAGGUUUUCAGUGAAAUUUAGCAUCAAACACUCUCCCUAGUGUAGAGAAUGGGAAACAAGAACCUGAUCAUGAGUAUAUUGAGAAUGGUGAAGAUGAUGUUGUCAGAAGAGUUCCACAACGUGAAAGGUGUUCAUUGGUAUCAGGAGUCAAACCGGCUUGUAAAUUCAUGUAUGAUAAAACGGAGGAUAGGUCACUUGUUGAAUUUUUUGGCAAUCUAUCACGAGAAUGGGCACUAGAGUGCAUGAAAUACUUAUUGCUGGUAUAUCUCAGAGGCAACCUACAUAUUAUUGUGCCGGUUGUCAAAGAAUGUUGUGAACAGUUGGGCAUGGAUGCUUGCUUAAGGAUUUUUGAGCAAUUCAGGUCAUAUGAAGGGC